rnacentral:ribozyme from 1 species
AUGGCAAAAAUAUCAGUGUUCGCGGUUCUUAUUGUGCUGCUCGUUGCUAUCACAUCGACGUGGGCCUCCUCUCCCCAGCCUGUUGAGGCUGAACGAGCUGUCCUUCAGCUGACGAAAGAUGAAUCAUACAA